CGGCUGCGUCACUUCGUUUUGCCCACUACUCCUGAACAGCAGAUUAUGGGGAGAAAUGGGAUGGCUUACUUUCUGAACAUUUUGACAGUGCUGGCUCCAACCAUACCACAUCACCAAACAUCCCGGAAACAAAACUUGCAGAACAUCGAUUGGCCAGUGGAGGAUUGCUCAACAGUAAGGGGGAGUCUGUAAAUUCCGACCUUUACCAUUUUUAUAGAGACCGUCUUAGGGACAUGGACAUUUCAAAAAACGAAAAAUGUGCAACAUGGGCCAAAACACUUAAAAAAAAAAGUUUUUUACAAGAUAAUGUUUUUGUCUUUUUAUACCACGAUUAACCUUCUUAUCCAUUUUCGUUUGGAACCACACUGCUGAAUUUAUUAGGAUGGGGCCGGGUCAUGACCCACGGGUCAAUCUGAUCAUCAACAAUGGAAGGCAACUUGGACGAAGCCUUCUCCUACUUGCACACUACACCACAGUGUUUCUGACCUUUGUGAGUCGCUCUGUGAACUGGUUCGUGCAGAUGCUAAAGUGGACCACACUGUUUGCACGGUACACCGUGUCCGUCUUUGACUCUAUCUACAGACACCUGCAUUGGUGGCGUAGAAGGGGCGGUGGAGGGGUUGCCAAGCAGAUCUGCCCCAGCCCUGACACAAAAUCAGGGUGACCAGAGUAAACAUACCAAGUCCCUUUAAACCUGAAGAAGUCUCAAUUAUUCUAAGAGUUUUAACAAACCCUAUCACUAACCGGACAGCCUGCUCAAGACAUCACAAGAUCUCACUGAUCUUUUGGGAAAAUGAAGUGCAACAGUGGUGAGAAAGUUGGGAGAGAGUUGAAGUAGAAUGGAAAGAGCACCUUACUGAAGUCAUUCAGCUUGAGCAUUUCAUUUUUACAUUUCAUUUAUUACUAACAGUCUAGUGUUUUACAGUAUAUGCAUGUAUCGGUUGCAUGUGUAUUCCUUGUACUGUAAUGCCAAUAUGAAAGUUACAUGUUUGAUAUUCAUAUCAUAAACUACUAUAAUAAUGUUCAAGGAAAGCUUCUCCAAAACCACUAACAGGAGGGGAAGAAUCGGGCAUUAAACACACUAUUGUAACACUUUUCUAAAGGGGAUAACGUCAAUUCAACUACACUACCCACCUAUGAACUGUCAUUUGUAACAUGUAUAGGAUGUACAGUAUAGGGGUCUAACUAAGCAGCUAUUUUGUCCCACAGCCAGCUUUUCAUGUGACUGUACAUAACUGAGAAGUAUGUUUCCUGGGCCACCAGACAGGGAAUGGGUCUUUCACAUUCUAAUCUCGGCACCCAGAACCAAAUCUACUCAAUUACAUUCAUAUUCAGUCUGUCACAAGACUAUUCCCAUUCCUGCAUUAUACUGUGUCAAUCAAAAUUCGAACCACUAUUGAGUUGAACGAAUACAGAAUUGUCUUUAUCUAUGCUUAUAAUGUGUAUUCUUUUAUUAUUGUCUUUACUUAUUUUAUUUGUACAAACUGUGAAAAUACUAUAUGAAUGGCAGCAUUGUGUUCAAAAUCAUGCCAACAAUAAUCCCUAAAGUUGCAAA